rnacentral:tRNA from 1 species
GCCGGGUUAGUCUAGCGGCGAGGCGCCGGACUGCAGAUUCGGUAUUUCCGGCUUGACGUCAAGCUGGGGCCGAAACCAGGGUUCAAAUCCCUGACCCGGCU